AACGGCGAGGGAUGAUGAUUCAAUUAGAUGUGCGAAUGGAGAAAUACUUCUCUAUUUUGAGCUCAAAAACUAUAUUUGGCAUUUUUUACUGACUUCGCCGUC
rfam:Capsella rubella cultivar Monte Gargano unplaced genomic scaffold scaffold_3, whole genome shotgun sequence.